UGUAUAUUGUAUAAUGUACGUAAUAUUUUAAAUACAUAUUACCAAAAUACAAACUCGUCUACGUGAGUAAGUAUUUCAUUCAUCGUCGUCUUAUCAUAGAUCUGUAUUCUGCCUACAUUACACUCUGAAUCUACUACUCUAUGACAAUGCAAAAUGGCGCGCGUCUUCGCCUAGUAAUUGAAUGUUCGUAUUUUAAUUGAAAAUAAUUAAAUAAGAAUGCUAAUACCGAUGAAAUGUUAUUCCGUUGCAUUUGGAAGUGUUACUGGAAUCAUUUUUGCAGUAUCUUAACCCACAACUAGGCAUGUUUGCGACUGUUUUUGGUUUCGUUUUUUAUUGUGGUACGUCUGGCGCGCAGAAGAGCUCGCGGGCGACUAAGUGCACUGCUGCUAUAUAGAUUACGUUGAAUGUGACCAAGCAUUGCGUUGCGUUGUCGAGUCUAGUACGUAGUACAUACUAUAUCAGUGACUUCGUCAU